ACAAUGUACAGGUUCAGUUCAGUUGCAGAAAUUCCACCUCAAGAAAACUUUGGGACAUAUAAAUGGGAGUAUUUCAGCAGCCCCAUUUAGCUUGAAAGACAGCAAAGGCUGUGCUCUGGGUGGGGGCUGUGCAGGAUAACCAGGAAGAGGACAAGUCGCAGUGAUUCUCACCAUUUCAGCUCCUGAAGAAUUCACUAACCGCGAGAUGACCCCUGCGUGCACUGAGAUACACAAGGGUGAGAGAGACGGAAAUCUCAGCUGCCCCAUCCUCAGACGUUCUCAUGGGACACAACGGAUUGUCUUCAAGGAAACAGGAGCAAUAUUCAGGUUGGCCCGUCAUUGAUGAAUUCAUAUGUCACAAGCAACAUUAAUUCUUCUGAACCUGGGAAGCUUUCAUUUGAAGCAGCUGACCUUUCACUUCAGCAUACCUGCAGCAAGCUCUAGAAUGUCUGGGCCUGCCACGUGCAAAGCUACUUAC